ensembl:rRNA 5S_rRNA 5S ribosomal RNA
UUCCACAGCCAUAUCACCCAGCAGCCCAAAACCGGUUACUCGCUGAAGCUAAGCAGGGCUGAGCCUAGUCUGUACCUAGAUGGCAGACAACAUGGUAAACUAGGUUGCUGUUGGAA